CGACCCAGAAUCUGGUCCCCGCCUCUUCCGGGUUUACUUCCGGUGCCCCACAGGGUCCCGGUCCAACCCGGCUGUGGUGAAACCUGUGGCUCGAGCGUCGGGAGGGUCCGGCGAGCUCCCCGCGCGGGGGUGUCAGUGCAGUGACGCUUAUCUCAGUAAUCUAAACGGCAGUUACACCUCAGCAACGCUGUUGAGGAAAAACUUGGCCAAAGGCGGAGACCUUUUCUUCUAACUUGGUGUCAGGAGAUUUGUCUCAGCUGUGUAUCUGCACCUUCAUCUAAGCAGCAAGGAGACUGGCCUGGCCUCUUGGUUUAUUGUCACUAAACAAGUGUUAUGGAUCCCCAGCGACGUGCGAGUGCUAGGCACGCUGGGGAGAGAGCGGGAAGGACGCAGGGUCGAGGAUGGCAACUAGAGAGUAACCGGAAGGAAACGACUAGACAGUAGUUUGGUCGAGUUGUGGCUGGUGACAUGUGGUAUGAUCCUCUCUCAGGAUGCUGGACAGUGGCUGUGAGCUGCAGCUCCCAGGCAGAGAGGAAGGGAGAGGUAUAGAGAGCUAGAAACAUCGAUCGGCCGCCUCCUACACAUCCCCCACUGGGGAUGUGCCUGCAACCAAGGUACAUGCCCUUGACCGGAAUCGAAGCUGGGACCCUUCAGUCCGCAGGCUGACGCUCUAUCCACUGAGCCACACCGGUUUCAGCCUCACUUUCAUUUAAAUCUCUGUUGUAUCUGAAAUAUAUUUUGGUGUGAAGAGGCAGGAGCCCAUCUUUGCUCUGUUGCUCCCCCAGCUGUGUCGGCAGCACACUUUCUCUCGUGCACGUGGACCUAGCCACCACCAGUAAGCUUGAUUUCCAUGUGUUGCUGAAGUUACUUCUGCAUCUUCAUUCUGUUCCCCUGCAGGCUAACCACACUGUGCAACCAUUCAAAGUAUCUCUAAAGAACUAAUGUGCAAACUAUAAUAA